rnacentral:lncRNA from 1 species
AAGCCUCAAAAUGCCGCUGUUUCUGAACCGCGGGAGACCGUCCCCGGAGCUGCGUCGGGACCAGCUAAGAGCUGACUCAUUGGGGCUUUAGAUUCACGUUCAAGAUAUAGUGCGUUUCGCUUGUCAGACACAAGUUAAGCCGGGAACACAGUGUGCGUUAUCGCCACAAAUCGUUGACGUCACCUUCCAAAAAGAAAGGGGCGAAAAAAGGCUUGGUGGCAUGCGCUGGGGUGAAUGGGGCUUUAGAAAUUGCUCCAGAAGCGCGCAUGACACAAGCAACGUUAAUAUGAUUUCUUUGAUGUGGGGAGUCCGCCCCAAUACGACAGAACGCCCGCAGGUUGCAAGUCUGUGAACCCUUGUUUUUGGUGUCCAGUUCCUGCUAUUGGGUAUAUUAUAUAGCGAGCAGACUGUGUGCUCAGUGUGUUUCUACAGCCGACCACGCGGGAAAACGUCUGCUGUCGAAUUGCCAAACGGUUAGUGAAGCAUGGGACCUUUUGCCAGAAAGGAGCAUUGCCGACAUGACGUCUUAAAGGGGGAUGAACGCUCUGUCGGUGACCGAAAACAAGCUGUGAAAACCUAUAUUACGUUUGGCAUUUUAGAGUUGCCGCUUCUGUGUUCCCAAGCAGCUGCCCUUCCUCUGCGGCCAAGCCGGACGAAUCAAGCAGAAGCCGCUGGCGGUCUGUUGCAUAUCAUCAUCCAUGGGGAAAGGCCAGUCACUCCAAUAAAAG